CCUACGGGGGGCAGCAGUAGGGAAUAUUGCUCAAUGGGGGAAACGCUGAAGCAGCAACGCCGCGUGGAGGAUGAAGGUUUUCGGAUUGUAAACUCCUUUUGUUAGAGAAGAUAAUGACGGUAUCUAACGAAUAAGCACCGGCUAACUCCGUGCCAGCAGCCGCGGUAAUACGGAGGGUGCAAGCGUUACUCGGAAUCACUGGGCGUAAAGAGCGCGUAGGCGGGAUAGCAAGUCAGAUGUGAAAUCCUAUGGCUUAACCAUAGAACUGCAUUUGAAACUGUUAUUCUAGAGUAUGGGAGAGGUAGGUGGAAUGCGUGGUGUAGGGGUAAAAUGCGUAGAGAUCAAGAGGAAUACUCAUUGCGAAGGCGACCUGCUAGAACAUAACUGACGCUGAUGCGCGAAAGCGUGGGGAGCAAACAGGAUUAGAUACCCCAGUAGUC
rnacentral:rRNA from 1 species